ensembl:lncRNA
GUAAGUAUCCGUUUGUGUAUGUCAUUACCAGCCAGGUUUCUGUUUUUGUUUUUUAAACUAGUCUGUGCUUUCGUAUGUGCACACUUAAAUGAAGCCUUUAAAGGGAAAUCUGAGCAGAAUCUUCAGAGACUUAUAAUCAGACGGUUAUUUUUCUUUUCUCUUUCUUUCUUUCUUUCUUUCUUUCUUUCUUUCUUUCUUUCUUUCUUUGUGAGCAACCAUCUUCAACACACCUGAAAUCAGGACAGAAAAAUUUAAGGCCAAAGUCUACGGGAAGAUCCAAGAUCCUCUACCAUAGAGGAUACCCUGGUGUUUCAUGUCAGUUUAUCCAAGGCUUUGAGACCACCUAUUGGAGUCCCUGGCCAAGGGACCAGAGGAAGGGGAGGAGUGUUUCAGCAUUUCUGAAUGAGGGCAGCUGGACCUGCAAGUUGCUCCUUGGGGUUGGAAGACAUUUCAAGAUGAGGAAUGAGAUAUUUUUGGAUACUGUAUAAAUGCCAGAAAAGGUGGUGGGAAAGAUUUCUUCCCCCUACCUCUGCUCCUAUGCAAGUUGCUUCUGAGUACAAAGUUGGCAAUGGAUGGGCACCCUCACUCAUGAUUUUGUGACACUGGCAGUAGGCAGAUACCCGCAACCAACCGUUUCUCCUCAUCAUCAUUAUUACAGAGUAAAAGACAGUCAGGAACAUCUGGUUGCACAAGCCCACUGACCUCUGGCUACAGCGGAUUGGACAGGUGGCUCAAGAUGAAGCAAUCAAAAUUGCAGCCCUGGUAAUUUGGAAAUGCGACUGAAUGGACUGGCAUGAAAAGAGUCUGGUGAGAAGAGACAGAGUGGAGACUGAGCAACUGUGCAAAGAGAAAAUGUAACAUGAAAAGAGUGGGAAUGACUUUUCAGGCCCUGUUUGGUAUCUUCUUGUUGCCCAGCUGAUCUUUUAUCCUUAGAUCCAAGAAAAUUUCAGCUGCUUGCCCCCGAAAAGCCAACAUGGUGAAGAUUGAAGCCAGGGUGAAGCCAACAUGGUGAGGACACCACAGUCGGUUUUAUAAAAACAAAUUCACCAUAAAAAUGUUGUGUCUGCUUUAGCACAAACUGCUCUGUGGUUUGGUUUCAUGUGAUGAUAAAUGAUUUGCUCUUCAGCUAGAAACUGUGUGUAAAUGACAAGGUUUCCAGAAGAUGCAAACAGAGAAAAAGAAGUGAGAAACCCUCAUCUUUGUGGCAUCCUCUGAAAGGAGAGAGGGCUUGUGUGAUGGAAGGGCAAUUGCAGUGAGCAGAGGCACCCUGGCCAGGGACCCAUAGAAUAUAAAAUGACUGGUUGUGAGAUAUGAGUUCAGGAGCAGCAGAGUGAAUCUCCUCAGGUGAUGGAUCAUUAUGCUGAAAUCAAUCUUUACAGUGGAAGACAAAGUUAGCCAAAAUGAAAUAUUUCCUUGAACAAGAGGUUUAAAUUGUAGUAGGCCACUCUACGGAUAGUGACAAUCAAUAUCAACUUAGUUGAAGACCCUCUCAGCCAGACCUCAUUAAACCUGAUACCAAUGAGGGACUAAAGUCCAGUUGCCACGGAUGAGAGUUUAACGUUGCCACAAUCAUGCCAAAUCAAAUGUCCUUUAUCAGCAGAGGAAUGGGUUGAAAUAUGUAGGCUUCUCAGCAACGCAACCAGCUAUUAAGUAUCUCUCAAUGUGUCCACCAAGGUGUGAACAUCAAAAGCCCAGCAGGAGCUAUUUAUAUUUGAAGAUUAUUAGACAGUAGCUGCACAGAAGGCUUGCCUCAGAAAAUGCUGUCCCUGACCAGACAGUCCUAUGGUAAAACCCCGGAAACUACUGAGCCCUCCAGAGUCAUUUCCAUUUUUACAAGGAUCUGCAGCUCUGUGUGGAGCGUCGUCCUUCCCACCAUGUAGCCCUGGACAGAGUGGGAGGAAGAGUGGACCCCAAGGGCAGGGGAUAGGUGAACAUCACUUACUUUUGUGUCUGUCAACAGACCCACCUGCUAUUCCGUAACAACUGCUUUUCAAGUGAAGUGAAGCUAGUGUGUACAGUUCACACGUGCGUACUAAGACAUGUGCAAAAACAUCUGGGGAAGCUCAGCCUCAGCAAAAGCUAUGAGUCCGCUCUGGCAUCCUGGUCUUACUGGAAUAAUGGCCAUAAGUUUGUGCUGGGGUGAGUCUGCCAAAAGAGAGAGGUUAUAAGGCCUAGAGCACUGUUUUCCAAACUAAACUCAACAGGGUGUUAGUAUGUGUGAGGAGAUAAAAGGAUUACACAGGCAAUGUUGGUGAGAUAUUGAGCUAAACAAGUUAAAUGAACAAUUAAAGUGUAUGCAUGUGAUAUUCAUGAAUACAGUAUAUAUCUGUAGAUCUACACACACACAGUAUAAAGAGCAAUAGAGGGCCGGGGAUUUAGCUCAGUGGUUCCGCCGCCUGCCUCGCAAGCGCAAGGACCUGAGUUCGAUCCCUGGUCCCCCCCCCCAAAAAAAGAGCAAUAGAAAUCCACAUUAAUAAACACAUUACCAAUCUUAGCAAGCCUGCUGGUUGCUUCUUUCUGGAUUUAGCCUCCCAUUUCACCCCAAGGCGAGCAGUGAUUUGAAUUUUGUGUUUGAGUUUUACUUUUCAUUAAGGAUCUACUAUAUAUUUAUAUCUCCUUAGAUAAGAUAUUUUCAUUUUUAUAUCCUUUUGAAUUAACUUUAUAUAAACAUUCUUCUGCAAAAUUCUACAGUUGGUUCUAUGUUUCUGGGCCUUAUUUUUGUUGAUGCACUAGGUGUAGUCCAUUUUUACUGCUAUUAUCCAUUCUAUGAAUAUACCACCAUUCACUUAUCAUUUUCUUCUCUGAUGAUUAAUAUGUUGCUUACAGUGUUUUGCUAUUAUACACAAUGGAUUAUGAACUUUCUUGUACAUAACUUCUCUUUCUAUAGCACAUGUGUAAGAAUUUCUGUAGAGUAUGUAUCUAAGAGCAGAAUUAUUAAAUGUGAGGGGAGGCACAUCCUUAAUUUUAUAGAAGAAACCAAAUUGUGUUCCAAAGUGAUUCUUCCCAUUUUUAUUUAUUCCAGUGGGCCUUAAGAGUUCAGUGCUCCAUAUCCCCACCAACACAUGGUCAUGUCAGGCUUAAAUUGUUUGUCCAACUCUUUGUGAUUUUGAUCCUCAUUUCUCUUAUCAGUGAAUUUGAACAUCUUUCAUAUAUUUUUUGGCAUUUGAGUUUCCUCUUCUGGAAAAAAGAGAAAAUAGAAGGAAAAAGUAGAGUUUCCUCUUAUUGUAAAUAAUGUUCUUGUCCAAUUUCCAAUUGGGUUGCUAUCCUCUUCCUGAGUAAUUUUUAGAUGUUCUUUAUGCAUUCUUCAUUGUAAUUCUUAAAUUGUAUGUUUGUAGAAUUUCUUCUUCCAAUGGGUGAUUUGUAUUUUUACUUUCUUAGUGGUGUUCAUUCAUAAAGAGAAGUUUCACACUUCAAUAUAGAUGAAUUUGUCAGUCUUUUAUGUUAUGGUUGUGCGGUAUGGGUUCAAUUUAAGAAAUAUUCCCCUACCAGAGAUUACAAACAAAUUAUUCUAAAUGUUUUUGAAUUUUUCUUUUCACACUUAAGUCUCUAAUCAUUGUUUUUGUGAGUAGGUUUCUUUACCUUAUGCAUUGAUUAGCUUUCUCAUGGCUGAGAAAAAGGAGGAGAGAUUUAUUUUGGCUUACAGCUUCAGUGGGUUUGAUCCAUGACAGAAGAGAGAAAAGGAAGGAGCCAGGAACGAGGGUAUACCCUUUCAGAUCACACCUCCAGUAAACCACCUCUUCUAAACAGGCUUCAUUUCCUAUCAGCACAUUCAGCUGUGAACUCAUCAAUGAUUAAUCUACUGCUAAGUAUAGUGCUCUGUGACCCAAUCAUCUUUCAGAAUCCCCACCUCUGAAUAAAUGAGACUUUUGGGGAGCAUAUUAGAUCUAAACCAUAACACCUCAGAACCUCCCUCAGUUGUUUCUUUUUUUUUUGGUACCAGGGAUCGAACUUGGGACCUUGCGAUUGCAGGGCAGGCAGCGGAACAACUGAGCUAAGUCCCCGGCCCCCUCAGUUGUUAAUAUGCACUGUGGGCCUCUCUGAUGGCAGACAAAAGGCAGCAUUUUCCUGUUGUAUUUGGCCUUGGGUUUCUCUCUGAGAGGCAUCUGUAGAGAUACCUUGGAAACCACUUUUCUGUAUAGUGGAAUCUCACUUUAUCCUAUACCUAAAAGAGUUGCUGGGUCACUUCCUUGUGCUUUUUAAAAUUUAUUUAAAAAUGAAGACCUUAUUACCUUAAUACCUAAAGUAAAAUGUGGAAAAAUAAGC